GCCCCCGUAGCUCAGCGGAUAGAGCGGCGGACUUCUAAUCCGACGGUCGCAGGUUCGAUUCCUGCCGGGGGCGCCG
rnacentral:tRNA from 1 species